UUUGAAAUCUGGCCUCCGGGUCCGAGUUGUAAUUUGUAGAGGAUGCUUUUGGCGAGGUGCCUUCCGAGUUCCCUGGAACGGGACGCCAUAGAGGGUGAGAGCCCCGUCUGGUCGGACACCGAGCCUCUGUAAAGCUCCUUCGACGAGUCGAGUAGUUUGGGAAUGCUGCUCAAAAUGGGAGGUAUAUGUCUUCUAAAGCUAAAUAUUGGCCAGAGACCGAUAGCGCACAAGUAGAGUGAUCGAAAGAUGAAAAGCACUUUGAAAAGAGGGUUAAAAAGUACGUGAAAUUGUUGAAAGGGAAGCGCCUAUGACCAGACUUGGGCCCGGUGAAUCAUCCAGCGUUCUCGCUGGUGCACUUUGCCGGGCACAGGCCAGCAUCAGUUUGGCGCGGGGGAAAAAGGUUUUGGGAAUGUGGCUCCCUCGGGAGUGUUAUAGCCCAUUGCGUAAUACCCUGCGCCGGACUGAGGUACGCGCAUCGCAAGGAUGCUGGCGUAAUGGUCAUCAGCGACCCGUCUUGAAACACGGACCAAGGAGUCGUCUUCGUAUGCGAGUGUUCGGGUGUCAAACCCCUACGCGUAAUGAAAGUGAACGCAGGUGAGAGCUUCGGCGCAUCAUCGACCGAUCCUGAUGUUCUCGGAUGGAUUUGAGUAAGAGCAUACGGGGCCGGACCCGAAAGAAGGUGAACUAUGCCUGUAUAGGGUGAAGCCAGAGGAAACUCUGGUGGAGGCUCGCAGCGGUUCUGACGUGCGAAUCGAUCGUCAAAUAUGGGCAUGGGGGCGAAAGACUAAUCGAACCUUCUAGUAGCUGGUUUC
rnacentral:rRNA from 3 species